UAAUACAGAGGUGGCAAGCGUUGUUCGGAAUUACUGGGCGUAAAGGGCGCGUAGGCGGCCGCCUAAGUCAGACGUGAAAUCCCCCGGCUUAACCUGGGAACUGCGUCUGAUACUGGGUGGCUGGAGUUCGGGAGAGGGAUGCGGAAUUCCAGGUGUAGCGGUGAAACGCGUAGAUAUCUGGAGGAACACCGGUGGCGAAGGCGGCAUCCUGGACCGAUACUGACGCUGAGGCGCGAAAGCUAGGGGAGCAAACGGG
rnacentral:rRNA from 1 species